UAUAUAUAUAAAAAAAAAACAAAUCUCAUUUCGUCAUCCACUAAUAUUGAAAUUUGGAAGUGCCAAUUUGUGAUAAUGUAGCAGAACCAAAAUUCCCAAUUUCAAAACCCUAGGAGAGAGGGGACCGGAUUCCGAAGCUCGAGAUGAUGUUCGGUGUUUCAUGGACUGAGGGCGAACACAGGAUGUAGCCAUGUAGGACUGCUAAUAAGUGUUCGGAAGAGCUGAGCUAUCGGCCACGUUUGUAGUGGUUAUCACUAUACAUGAGCUGGAUAAGGAGACUCAAGACUCAAGAGAGACUUAAGCCAAUCAGUACUGCGUUUGAUUUCGGUAACAUUGGAAGUACAGAGGAAGUAGGAUCCCCCUUGGCGAUUGAGAAACUUGAUGGCGUAACCUUGCGCAAUAAAGAACCAUACCCAGUCCGAUUAUGGUAUUCAUUGAAUAGAGCGCGUAAUGUUGGACUGAGCUAGGAAAGAGGAGUGACCCUAAAGAUAUCAAUGCCAAUAUCCCAAAAAAAAUCAUCAUUUCUUUUGGAGAACAUUUAGUAGUUGUUGGUGGUGAUGGUUUUAAGGAAGCAGCAAAAGCACAACAAUAGAACAGAAGCCAAAUAGUAGAGAGUAGUAUUGUGAGAGGAUUGGUGGAAAAGGGGGAAAUGGUAUGGUCUCCUUGACUCUUCAACUGAAGCAAGGUAAGAAAGAAUGUGGCUAUGAAGAUGAAGAUAGUAUUCAAGGCUUUUGGAUUCAGUGAUUCCAGCGACUGGAUUGUAUUUGUAUUUGUAGGUGGUGCUUGAUGAAUGUUGUUGACAGACAUGUAGAUGUUGCAAUUUACUAUAAUUUGCUUAAAUUUUGGUUGGUUUGAAGCACCAGAGCUCGAGUUGGAAAAUUGUUAAUGGAGGAUGAUUUUUGGUUGUAGGACUUCUUCAGACCGAGGAAUUGGUUUUAUAGGAAUUGGUUUUACAUGUACAAAAUUGACAUAUUAAUGCAUGUCAGCAACGGCCACAAGUCCACAACAAAGGAACCUCCUACGAAAUGUAUCCAAUAUCCAUUUUGGAUACUUGUCCAUAUCCAAUGGAGCCAAAUAUCCCAUAGCCAUUUCGCUUCCUUUUCAUGAAGUAGAAGAUGGUCGUCCCGUUGUCGUCCCGCUAUUGCUUUCGGGUCAAUUGGAAAUAACCUCUCUGCAAUUGCAGGGGUAAGGUUGCUUAUGUCUGAUCCCCCUUAUCCCGCUUCUUGCGGGAGCCUCUUUAAGGCAAUGGAGUAAUGAUAUAAUAUAAAGAAGUUUACAACU